UGGUUUUAUAGUCCCCUCAAGUGAACGUGAGCCAUUGGAUCAAACCGACAUAGAUUGUAUGGUUUAGAUUGAUCCUUUAGGUCGAUGGAGUCUUGCCCCGAAGCAGAGUCCUGAUUGGCCUCUUGGCCAGGGCGGGCGCCCAAGGGGGGUGGGCGGCCGCCCAGCUCCCGAGCCCGAUUCGCGUCCCGUUCGUUCCCGUGGCUUCUGGAUCCUUCUAGAUUGAGGAAAAUUGCACGGCACGUAAUUAUCUCGUUGUAAACAUGACAUGUGGACCUUCUCUCCAUAUUUUCUGAUAAACCCCUGCAAAAAUAGAUAAACACCAAAGCUCGUGGAAUUCUGUCAGAUAAAACCCUAAUUCUAGAUGUUUGUUUCAUAUUGAUCCUUUUUCAUGUUUAUUUGAUUAUUAAUUUUAGUACUUAAGGACCGUCAACACCCGGAACCUCGAAAGAAAAGAAAAAGUGAGACGAGAGGUAAAAAUGGACAAGUGUCCGACAGUAGAAUUAGGGGUACAAGAUACCCACCUCAGAGAAAAGAAAAAGAAAAAAAUAGAGCAUCUCAUUCUCCUCAAAAAGUUUCAAAAGAGCAAGAAAGGUAUGUAUCCCUUGAAAAGAGCACAAGUAGAAAUAGACUUUCACCAUUGUUAUCACCAUCAUACACCAUUUAUUCGCCACACAUGCACAUCUUGAUUUGACUUAUUGACUUGUUCUUCUGGAUCCAUGGUUUGACUAUGCAAUAAAUGUCUUGUAAGUAUGUAUUAGCUGUCUCCCACCUAUGAGCUCCAGAUAUCAAAAGCCUUAUUAGAGUAGGGUGAGAGAGAAGGCAAUGUCACUAUGCCUCAUACCAAAAAUACCACAUACUUGGAGAGAAGGCAUAUACCAUUACUGCCUUGGUAAGGAUCCAGAAAUACCACAAAAGAGAGACUAGAGAGAGUCAUAAAAGGAAUCUCUGAGUUUUAUUUGAAAAUCUGCAAAAACUCCAGAGCUAUAGUUAAUCGAAGAGCAAGAGACAUGGUGCUUGACUAGAGUGUUCUAUAUUUUAACUACUCAAGACAGAAGUGACGGUUACAAGUCCCAUGGUGAAAGGUAAAUGAGUAAGUUUUAAGUCUUAACAGUUUACUCUAACCAGAGAUGAGAUCUUGUUUAAACGCAUGUGUAUCUUUAAGUUACAAAACCACUGCAGAAACUCUUAAGUCCAUCUUUGCUCAGGGACGAGCAAAGGUUAAGCUUGGGGGAGCUUGUUGACGGUCCUUAAUGCUCACAUUUAACCGUCAACUAAUCAUGGAAAAGGAUCCAAAUGCAACCAACACCUAGACUUAGGGUUUUAUCUGACAGAAUUCCACGAGUUUUGGUGUUUGUCUAUUUCUGCAGGGGGUUAUCAGGAAAUAUGAAAGAAAGGCCCACACGUCGGGUUUACAUAGAGAUAUUAACGUGCCGCACAAUUAUCUACCAUCUAGAAGACUCCAGAAGCCACGGGACCAAAGCGGAGGCCGAGAGGGCUCAGGCACUGGGCGCCCGCCCUACCUUACUGGGCGCCCGCCCUCCCCCUUGGACCAAACAGAGUCCAAUUCGGGAACAACACUCCACCGACCUAAUACUUCAAGGAAAACCACACGAUCAAUGUCGGUUUGAUCCGACGGCCCAGAUUCACUUGAAGGGACUAUAAAACCAGACCCCCCUGGCCCCUGGAGAUCAUACCUCUUCUACAGAAUCAAAGCUAGGGUUUCAAUUCUUCAUCCAAGUAGAGAGGAUCCCUCUAGUUCUUCUAGUUCUACCUCUAGUUCAUCUGGAUCUAGUUCUAGUUCAUCUAGUUCUAGUUCUAGUUCCUCUAGUUCUAGUUCUAGUUAGUUCUAGUUGUAAUCUAGAAAAUAGGGAGAGAGAAGAGGAGAGCGGAGGAGGAGCCGGAUCUGUCGGAUCUUCCUCAACAUUAUACUUUUGCAGCAUCUGGUUCGUUCUUCAUCGUUCUCCAGGUUCUUCAAUUCAUAAUUCCUGAGUUCUUUAAUUACUUUUAUUUACAUUCAAGUUAUUUAUUGGAUUCCUGCUUGCAUCAAGUGCUCUAGUCUUUAUAACGCUAGAGUAGUAAUUAAUAGAUUAGACGUGGUGUUUAGUCUUGCGAUUACCUGGAAUUGCACCCAAUCCUACGGAUUGUUGUGGUAGCCUUAGGGUAGUGACAGCCCUAACGGUCGACGUAUUCCACCACGUUCGGAUCGGUGUUUGUUGGACCGUAGUCAGACCUUCCUAGCCCCCUUCUCAUCUCUUUCUGUGGUUAGUGCUCUGAUGUCCCGAAAUAGAUAAUCUUGAAGUAAUUCUUGAUUCUUAGAUCAACUAGAGAACUCUCAGGAAACUUCCUCUCUUCCCACCAAAAAUAAUUAUAUAGUUAUCCUUGGGCGAUCUUGAUUCUUAAUUAGUACACUCACGUUCCCUGUGGAAAAUCGAUACUCUGGAAUACUCCCGGGUGAAGGCUACAUCGGUAUCCGUGCGCUUGCGUAUUUUUCUGGUUGCGUUUAAAAUACCCAACAACUAGCCAGCAGAGGACAUAGUAAUCACUGUCAGGGUGCUGCCGACAUUCAAAUACACCUCCGUCACCUGCUAGCUACAUCAGAAGAAAUUACGUUAAAAUCCAGCUUGGGGGAGAGCACCACCAUUUAUCCAGCUAAGUGUUUCUAUUCGCGUUUAUACGUUACUCAAAUAAUAAAAAGAUGCAUAAUCAUGAAAACCCAAAUAAAAAUUUUAUGCUUAUAUAUAUCUUUGCUUAGUUUGCUAAAUAAAUAAAUAAAGUGUCUAGGCUAAACUGAAUUUAAAUGAUAAACUCUUACAUGGAUAUGAUAAAUAGUUGCUCUGCCAUAUACCUAGUUUUCAAGUUUGAGCUCUCUCUCAAGUUUAGGCAUAACUGUUAUAAUUUAAACCUGCUCUAAACCUGAACUUGUGGGAAGAGUACUUGAUCUAAAGUCUAAGUCGUUAACGGAUAUGAUAUGGGAAGGUUGAGCUGCUGUUUAUCUGUUCCUAGAGAUGCUAGAAUUCUGGAGAAUUUUAUCUUUGAAAAUCUUUAAAAUUUCACAUGAUGAGUUCCUGUAUGAUAAGAGUUUAAAUUCCUACCACAGCCAUACAUACAUGCUUAUUAGACUAUGAACCAUACAUUUACUUUUUACUGCUUAUGAGCAUUGAGUGUGGUCAAGCUGUGUAGACGCUUAAGAGCUUGUCAUACGGUUAUAAUCAAGAUCCACUUGCACGUUCACUCACACAUGCUACUUCUACUCCGGAAGUACGCAUCCACAUAUAUCCACUCAAUUCCAUCUCUAGAUUCACCUAAAAUUAUUCUACUCCUAUCCAGGAGAGAAUAGCCAAAAACUUUUUCCUAUCCCUGUUUUUCCCUGUGAAAUAAAUGCUCGAGUUAUCAUGGUUACUACCACUUGCUAUAUUAUUUCAGGAGAUGAGUGCUCUAAAAAAAAAGAGGAUACGAGGAAAGAAAAAGGGACAAGUGCCUGGAACCUCGAAGAAAAGAAAAAGUGAGACGAGAGGUAAAAAUGGACAAGUGUCCGACAGUAGAAUUAGGGGUACAAGAUACCCACCUGAGAGAAAAGAAAUAGAAUAUAUAGAGCAUCUCAUUCUCCUCAAAAAGCUUCAAAGUGCAAGAAAGGUAUGUAUCCCCUAAAAAGAGCAAACGUAGAAUUAGACUUUCACCAUUGUUAUCACCAUCAUCACCAUACAUCAUUCACUCGCCACACAUGCACAUCUUGAUUUGACUUAUUAACUUGUUUCUCUGGAUCCAUGGUUUGACUAUGCAAUAAAUGUCUUGUAAGUAUGUAUUAUCUGUCUCCCACAUAUGAGC
rnacentral:lncRNA from 1 species